rnacentral:rRNA from 1 species
AUGAACGCUGGCGGCGUGCUUAAUACAUGCAAGUCGAACGAAGCACCUCUCCCGUUGAUUGACCUAGCUUGCUAGAGAUUGAAACAAUUGAGGUGACUGAGUGGCGGACGGGUGAGUAACGCGUGGGUAACCUGCCUUGUACAGGGGGAUAACAGUUGGAAACGACUGCUAAUACCGCAUAAGCGCACAGUAUCGCAUGAUACAGUGUGAAAAACUCCGGUGGUACAAGAUGGACCCGCGUCUGAUUAGCUAGUUGGAGGGGUAACGGCCCACCAAGGCAACGAUCAGUAGCCGACUUGAGAGAGUGAUCGGCCACAUUGGGACUGAGACACGGCCCAAACUCCUACGGGAGGCAGCAGUAGGGAAUAUUGCACAAUGGGGGAAACCCUGAUGCAGCGACGCCGCGUGAAGGAUGAAGUAUUUCGGUAUGUAAACUUCUAUCAGCAAGGAAGAAAAUGACGGUACUUGACUAAGAAGCCCCGGCUAAAUACGUG